rnacentral:misc_RNA from 1 species
GCAAACUUGGUCAUUUAGAGGAAGUAAAAGUCGUAACAAGGUAACCGUAGGUGAACCUGCGGUUGGAUCAUUAUUUAAUAUUUAUGGGGCCAUUGCUAUAAUUGGUGGUGGUCUUGUAUGCAUCCCAACCACGCGAACAGUUUUUUUGUUGUUGUAUAUUUGGCCUAGCCCCACCAAUUUUUGUAAUGAGUUUAUUGUUUAAAAGGGCAAUAAACUCUUGGGGCUUUUGUGCCGAAUAAUUACAACACACAUUGCCAUUAAACCCAAAAUAAUGUUUUAAACAACAAUAAACAAUAAGCCUUGCUCGAUUGCCAUUGGCAAUGAUGCAAAUUGAUGUAUAAUGCUGAAAACAACUUUUGACAAUGGAUCUCUUGGCUCUCGCAUCGAUGAAGAACGCAGC